CCCUUUGUAGUUUAAUUAAAACAUAGAAUUGCAAGUUCUAAGAAAAAUUUGUUUCAGCGGGU
rnacentral:tRNA from 1 species